rnacentral:rRNA from 1 species
UGAAUACGAGACGCUAAGGCGUCGAAGUAGUGUAUGUCAUACUUCCAAGAAAAGCUUGCACUGUCAUAGAUAAAAAACGCCUGUACCAUAACCGACACAGGUGGGUAGGUAGAGUAUACUAAGGGGCGCGAGAUAACUCUCUCUAAGGAACUCGGCAAAAUAACUCCGUAACUUCGGGAGAAGGAGUGCCCUAUUCGUAAGGUUGCAAUAACAAGAUCCAAGCAACUGUUUAUCAAAAACACAGGUCUCCGCUAAGUCGUAAGACGAUGUAUGGGGGCUGACGCCUGCCCAGUGCCAGAAGGUUAAAGAAGUUGGUUAGCAAUUGCGAAGCUGAUAACUGAAGCCCUGGUGAACGGCGGCCGUAACGAUAACGGUCCUAAGGUAGCGAAAUUCCUUGUCGGGUAAGUUCCGACCCGCACGAAAGGCGUAAUGAUUUGGAUACUGUCUCGGAGAGGGGCUCGGUGAAAUAGACUUGUCUGUGAAGAUGCGGACUACCUGCACCAGGACAGAAAGACCCUAUGAAGCUUUACUGUAACUUGAAAUUGAAAUUGGACUUUAUUCGCGCAGUAUAGGGGGGAGGCGUUGAUUAUAAUCUUGUGGGAUUAUUGGAGCCAUCAGUGAGAUACCACUCUUGUAAUGUUAGAUCUCUAACUUUGAAUCAUUAUCUGGUCAAAGAACAGUUUCAGGCGGGCAGUUUGACUGGGGCGGUCGCCUCCUAAACGGUAACGGAGGCGUACAAAGGUUUCCUCUGAACGGUUAGAAAUCGUAUCUAGAGUGUAAAGGCAUAAGGAAGCUUGACUGUGAGACCUACAAGUCGAGCAGGGACGAAAGUCGGUCUUAGUGAUCUGACGGUACUGAGUGGAAAGGCCGUCACUCAACGGAUAAAAGUUACUCUAGGAUAACAGGCUGAUCUCCCCCAAGAGUUCACAUCGACGGGGAGGUUUGGCACCUCGAUGUCGGCUCAUCGCAUCCUGGGGCGGUAGUACGUCCCAAGGGUUGGGCUGUUCGCCCAUGAAAGCGGUACGCGAGCUGGGUUCAGAACGUCGUGAGACAGUUCGGUCCAUAUCCGGUGUAGGCGUUAGAAUAUUGAGAGGAGCCUUCUUUAGUACGAGAGGACCGAGAAGGACAUACCUCUGGUGUACCAGUUAUCGUGCCAACGGUAAACGCUGGGUAGCUAUGUAUGGAGUGGAUAACCGCUGAAAGCAUCUAAGUGGGAAGCCCACCUCAAGAUAAGUAUUCUCA